GGUAAUUUAGUAUUAAAAGUAGUAAAUUUUUGUACAAUAAAAGUGAACGUUGAGGUCCGUGUUGUAAUUUUAGUUUUUUUGUAAAUCUACAUGUAAGUUUAGGCUAGUAAAAAAAGUUGUAAAAUAAAUUAGGAGAUUCUCAGUAGAAAAUUUUGGAAAUAUAUAAAAA
rnacentral:rRNA from 1 species